rnacentral:rRNA from 1 species
AGUGAACGCUGGCGGUAGGCCUAACACAUGCAAGUCGAACGGCAGCACAGUAAGAGCUUGCUCUUACGGGUGGCGAGUGGCGGACGGGUGAGGAAUACAUCGGAAUCUACUUUUUCGUGGGGGAUAACGUAGGGAAACUUACGCUAAUACCGCAUACGACCUACGGGUGAAAGCAGGGGAUCUUCUGACCUUGCGCGAUUGAAUGAGCCGAUUUCGGAUUAGCUAGUUGGCGGGGUAAAGGCCCACCAAGGCGACGAUCCGUAGCUGGUCUGAGAGGAUGGUCAGCCACACUGGAACUGAGACACGGUCCAGACGCCUACGGGAGGCAGCAGUGGGGAAUAUUGGACAAUGGGCGCAAGCCUGAUCCAGCCAUACCGCGUGGGUGAAGAAGGCCUUCGGGUUGUAAAGCCCUUUUGUUGGGAAAGAAAAGCAGCAGGUUAAUACCCCGCUGUUCUGACGGUACCCAAAGAAUAAGCACCGGCUAACUUCGUG